rnacentral:rRNA from 1 species
CGGCGGACGGGUGAGUAACGCGUGGGUAACCUGCCUCAUACAGGGGGAUAACAGUUGGAAACGGCUGCUAAUACCGCAUAAGCGCACAGUACCGCAUGGUACGGUGUGAAAAACUCCGGUGGUAUGAGAUGGACCCGCGUCUGAUUAGCUAGUUGGUGAGGUAACGGCCCACCAAGGCAACGAUCAGUAGCCGACCUGAGAGGGUGACCGGCCACAUUGGGACUGAGACACGGCCCAA